GUUCAGUCGGUUCACUCUGUCACAUUGCCCCUUCUUAAACCAACCAGCUGUUUAUAAUACAAUUAUUUUUAUCAGUACAUUCUUGAAACUAGUGACGAUCACUAACGGCGACACUGGAGCUGUCUGAGACGCACAAUAAAUACGAGACUUAAAGGUGUGCAUCACUAACACAACUUGUUGAACCAAACUAAGUGAAUAAGUGAUAAAUAUAACAAUUAACCAAAGUCAUUUGGUGCAUGUAUAAUCUGAUGUACUAAAUUUCAACACAAAUCAACAGAUGUACGUUAAAUAUACUGAAACUAAAUUAAGCGAAUGGAAGACUUACAGUUGAAAUUGCCACUACGACAAAAAAUGAUAAAAAGUUGUAACAAUCUGCUAAAUCCAUAAAUGGAAAUAAGUGAAAUCUGUUAUUAUUUUAAAUUAUCAAAAUCUAUAAAAUGAAACAAUAUCAAAGGAAAAUAUGUAACAUUUUCUACCCCAAUGGGAGGGUCUUUCAGGUUUCAGGUGAAGGCUAUUCUUGUUAAGAAGAUGAUGUAACUAUCUGCUAAAUCCAAAAAUGGAAAUAAGUGAAUUCUGUGAUUAUUUCAAAAUUUUCAAAAUCUAUAAAAUGAAACAAUAGUAAAGGAAAAUUAAAUCAUUUCCUACCAUGAUGGGAGGGUCUUUUGAGGUUUCAGGUGAAGGCUAUUCUUGUCAAGAAGAUGAUGUAACAAUCACCUAAAUCCACAAAUGGAAAUAAGUGAAAUCUGUGAUUAUUUUAAAUGAUCAAAAUCUAUAAAAUGAAACGAUAUUAAAGGAAAAUAUAGAACGUUUUCUACCUCGAUGGGAGGGAAACGGUUAUUUCAGGUCUUUUAGGUUUCAGUUGUUUUAGCUGCCUCCUUAUUACUGAUGGCCUUGUUUAUUGACCUGACUACUGGAUGAACUAGCUUGCGAACUAACCUCCGGUCGCUAGAUCCACCAGCGAGCGUCGCAGGUUUCACAACUCUAAAGGAGCUGCCAAGCUCCUGCUAUUCGCCAGGAGGUCCUCUCGCACCGAGGUGCCACAAUCAGAGACACUCCUCUCGCCGAGUUCAAGUGCUGUAGAACCUCCUGGAUCAUACGUCUCGACUAUUUUUGACCGACUAGUGGCGAACAAAUUUAUCUCAUUUCUUGAAUAUCAAGUGUGUCGCGUUGUCAGUCCGUGAGAGGCAUCCCCGUGAUAACCUAUCCGCAGUUGACUUAGAUUCAGGAUCUCGAUCUCUUUGACUACCUCCUCCAGAAUCCUGGAACGAUUGCGCCCCUGCUUCCUGCUGUGUACAGGCCACUGCCUCUGCUCGGCCGACCAUUGAUCCGCUCUCAUCUCGUCGUUCGUUGUCGUAAAGCAAUUAACCUCGCGGAUUAGAACUUUCGAUGUACUUGUGUAGUUGUGUAGGAUUAUCAAUAAGAUUCCUACUGAGCGAUUCAA